CUCCACUUCAUCUAAAUAUUGGCGCAGCACUAUAGGUUCCUUCUUAGUUUGCAACCAAUUCUUUCCACAUAUACAAGUCUCAACCAUCCGUGCACCUAAUGAACUCCUAAAGGAAUCAAGUAUCCGACCUCCAGUUGAGAAUGCAGACUCAGAAGCAACUGUAGAAAUUUGAAUCGCUAAUACAUCUUUGGCAAUUUGGGAGACAAUCUUAUACUUAGGAGCAUUUAUUUUCCACCACAUCAAAAUGUCGAAUGGCUCCUCAGUCAAAUCAUCACAUCGGUCGGACAAGUAAUCUACCAAAUCAUUUUUCUCCAACCUAGCAUCUCGAUUAAGUCUCGCUUUAAAGAUUGAAGGGAUGGGUCUAGAAAUACCCAAAGUAGGUUGUUGACUUUGACUACUAGUUUGAG
rnacentral:lncRNA from 1 species